CGGCAAACGGGUGCGGAACACGUACGCAAUCUACCCAGAACCGGUGAAUAGCCCUCCGAAAGGAGGAUUAAUACGCCGUAACAUAUUGAGAAGGCAUCUUUUUAAUAUAAAAGCUCCGGCGGUUUUGGAUGAGCGUGCGGCUGAUUAGGUAGUUGGCGGAGUAACAGCCCACCAAGCCAACGAUCAGUAACUGGUGUGAGAGCACGACCAGUCACACGGGCACUGAGACACGGGCCCGACUCCUACGGGAGGCAGCAGUAAGGAAUAUUGGUCAAUGGACGCAAGUCUGAACCAGCCAUGCCGCGUGAAGGAUGAAGGUCCUCUGGAUUGUAAACUUCUUUUAUAUGGGACGAAACCCUUUUAUUCUUAAAAGAUUGACGGUACCAUACGAAUAAGCACCGGCUAACUCCGUGCCAGCAGCCGCGGUAAUACGGAGGGUGCAAGCGUUAUCCGGAUUCACUGGGUUUAAAGGGUGCGUAGGUGGGAAUGUAAGUCAGUGGUGAAAUCUCUGAGCUUAACUCAGAAACUGCCAUUGAUACUAUGUUUCUUGAAUUUUCUGGAGGUCAGCGGAAUAUGUCAUGUAGCGGUGAAAUGCUUAGAUAUGACAUAGAACACCAAUUGCGAAGGCAGCUGACUACAGGGAUAUUGACACUGAGGCACGAAAGCGUGGGGAUCAAACAGGAUUAGAUACCCUGGUAGUCCACGCCCUAAACGAUGGAUACUCGACAUUUGUGGUAGACAAUAAGUGUC
rnacentral:rRNA from 1 species